rnacentral:rRNA from 1 species
AUCUCGUCUCUCCUUCUCCCUCACCCAGCGCCUCCUCCAUAUCCCGGCUCGUCCCCAAGCAACUGCCCUCGAGGAGUUCCCCGUCCCCGUCGCCGGCCAUGCUGCUACGCUGUCUCCCUCUCCUUCCUUCUUUUCCCUGUGGUUCUCCUUCCCCUAACAUCUGUCUCUCUCUUGUUUGCUGCUGAACGCAGGACGCUGCCGCUCCUACCAAAUCCAGCCGCCGCCGGAUCUGCCUCCACCGGACCAGAUCCGUCCGGAUCCGGCUGCCCUCGACCGUCCUCGACCUCAUAUUCUCCUCCAGUCGCCUGAUUGAUGCGCCGCCGACGGAUCUGCCUCCACUGGACCGGAUCCGUCCGGAUCCGGACACCCUCGACCGCCCUCGGCCUCGUCUGCGACUCCUCCGUCCGGAUUCUGCUGUCCUCGACCGUCCCCGGCCUAGUUUGCUCCUCCCGUCGUGUGAUUUGAUGCCCCACCUAUUCGAUUUCUUCGAUUUCGUGGUGUUGCAAUCUGCUUUUCUUUGAUCGAUUAUUUGAUAGACCGAAUCCUUCCCUUGUGAUUAUCCUCAUCUCUGUGUCCUGAUUUCUGUGGUCGCUUGUUGAAUCAUCAACGUCUACCUAUAUGAACCAGUCAGAUUAGGUGUAAAGAAACGAUGUGGUAUUAUUACUUAGCCAAGUCAUAUAAUUUUUUCGGCAUGAUCCUAGGAAGGCAAGGAGAAAGCCUAUCAGCAUAUGAAGCCCAGUACGGGCGGCGUGGAGGACGCGUCACGAAUCUGAAAUAUGGAACACUUUUUUUUGCACUUAUAUGUUGGACUGCGGGUUAAUUAGUUAAAACCAUAAGGGGCUUUUUGCAAAUAGUGCACG